rnacentral:rRNA from 1 species
AUUGAACGCUGGCGGCAGGCCUAACACAUGCAAGUCGAGCGGAUGAAGGGAGCUUGCUCCUGGAUUCAGCGGCGGACGGGUGAGUAAUGCCUAGGAAUCUGCCUGGUAGUGGGGGAUAACGUCCGGAAACGGGCGCUAAUACCGCAUACGUUCUGAGGGAGAAAGUGGGGGAUCUUCGGACCUCACGCCAUCAGAUGAGCCUAGGUCGGAUUAGCUAGUUGGGGGAGUAAAGGUCUACCAGGGCGACGAUCCGUAACUGGUCUGAGGGGAGAAUCGGUCAAACGGGAACGAGGACAGGGUCAGAACCCCUAGGGGAGGCGGCAGUGGGGAAUAUUGAAAAAGGGGCGAAGGCCUGAUCCAGACAGGCCGGGUGUGGGAAGAAGGUCUUCGGAUUGUAAAGCACUUUAAGUUGGGAGGAAGGGCAGUAAGUUAAAACCUUGCUGUUUUGACGUAACCAACAGAAUAAGCACCGCCUAACUUCGU